CCUCAGGCUAUGUUAUAAUUUUGUACUACUUAUUCUUAGAUCAGUUACCAUAAUCAUUUGUAUUUGUGUUUCGAACUUGCCACUUUAUAAUAGCGUUUCGUAUAUCAUGAUCGAUGUAUUCAGUGGAGUAAAACAUAUUAGUCCGAAUAGCUUGAUUGAUGUCUCUUGUGUCCAUAUCACAUUACUAUUACAAGGAUUGAUGUACAUUUUAAAUCUAAUAUAUUACGUAGCGAUAGAUAUUAAUAAAUAGUUUGUGAUUUUAUAAAAACUGUUCAUUAAAUCAUAAACGGAGAGGUAAUGAAAUAAAUACCACCAUCAAUUGAAUAUAGCAAGAACUUUAUAAAAGACGAGGCAGACUCACAGAUGGUUUAAGUAUAUUAGUAUAUGUCUCAAAACUCUGAGAAACGUAUGACGGUUUUGUAUUCGCAUUUUUUUUAUUCUUUUUUAAAAUUUUUUUUUUUUUCUUUCAAAUAGAUCACACAUGAAAAAAAGUUGUUGCAUAAAGAGAUGUGUUUAUAUCGUGCGUAAAAAGUACGAACAUACAUCAAUCGAAAAAGAGUUUUAGUCAAGGAUAGAAGCUGAAAAAGGAAACGCUCGACUAGAUUUGAUAAACUCCCUCUUGUUAUGUUGUAUUAUGAAUUGUCGAAAUUAACGUGUUUUUCUUCUUAUCUAACCUUAACGACCAAAACUCAUUAACUCGUUAUCGUAAAAAUAUACAUAUAGUGUCGAUCGUAUGCAAAUUAUUUAUUACUUAUCGUUUAUCAGUUAUUAUCAUAUUUUAGAAAAAUAAUUGUUUAUUUCUAAUUAUAAACAAGAGAAAGCAUGACAAUAAAAUAUGAGAAUAUUGAUAAUAUUGUAAGAGGGAGUUCUAUUAUUAAGAAAAAACGUGACUUUCGCUCCUAUUGGAGGAGUAUCGGGAAAAAUGUACAACGAGGAAAAUUAUUUCGAAUAAAAUAAUUUGCUUCGCAAGCGAUUGUAGUUUUGUAAAUUAACGUGUGAAUCGUUUUUAUCGCGAAAAUGACAAGGAAAUUGAUAUUAUUUUAUGAUAUCAUCGUCCAUCAGCGCGAUAUGACUUCAGAAUAGAACUUCGAUAGAAUAUCGAAUGAAAAAUCGAUUUUCAGUGUUUCGAUUUUUACCAUGAUCUUCGAUACUUAUCGAUUUUUGUUAGUUAAGUCGGGUUAUGGAGCGUUGAUAUUUGUGAAUAUUGUGAAAUUUGACAGAAUAAAAUAAAAAGAAAAAAAUUAAUACGAUUUUGAAAGAUUUGAGAAAUAAGGAUGAAAACCGAUAACCUAGAAACAGGUACAAUAUUAACGUCCUUCCUCUCCUCUGAAUCCCGACGCUUUUGAAAAGAGUUACAGACGCGGAAUAUCGAUAGACAAAAAUUAAUUAUGCGACGUUGGAGUGGGGAAGAGCAAUAUCGGAUGGAAUUCACGGAACGAAUGGAAAAUAGAAGCUGAUUUUUCAAAUUCAUCGAUUCAUCAAUGGAUCGUUCAAUAUCGAUUUCCAAAGGUUAAUUGACACACGAUGACGCAAAAGAAUCGGAAAUUUAAUAAAACAAUCUUAUUCUGAAGAAAGAGGUUAUGAAUGGUGGAAAAGAAAAUAUAUAAGUGCAUGAAAAAUAUGUAGUGGUGGUAAGAGAUGGAAUCAAGAAUCAAGUCGAAAAGAGAGAAAGAAAGAGAGGAAUGAAGCUCCUUGACCCGACUGAUUUGAUAAAUUCCAAGCAUUUCUGCCAUUCUAUAGCGUAGUUAUAUGUGUGUAAAUAUGUAUUCCGCUUGGUGUUCUACAUUUCUUAGCGAUGAUACCCGCACCCGGCCCUCGCGAGAAUGAGUUUAAUUGACUGAAGUGCCGAGCCGAAUCGCGGGUGCUUUGAAGCAUGUAUGGAAGUUCGUUAAUAUCGACGAUAUGUGGGAGACGGGUUUGUUACGAUAUUUUAAAUCUCAAUAUCCGAUUAACUCUCAUUUGGUUUAUACAUAUUAUUCAGAAUUUUAUAUAUUAUUUAUGGUUAAACAUAAUAUAUACGACACGUGAAUGAGAUUUCUAAGAUUAUUAAGAAAUAAAAAGUAAGAAGAUAUGGAAAAUCUAAAUGUGCGAAUAAACGUAACUGUAGAAUGUUUCGGAAUAUCAGAUGUCGAGGCUUUUGAAAAUUGAAUACCACUUGAACUAACUGAAAUGCUUGCGCUGUUGCUAUUCUAGAUAUCCAAAACAUCCAGAUAUUAGAUACCUUACGUAUCCCGAAUAUUGAACAGAAUAUUUCACGUUUCAAAUAUUCGAAUUCCGUUUCUUUCAAAGGUAUCGUGUCGACAUUUAUCCGCAGCAUUAACUAGAACUCGCCAAAGCGGAAAUCGCUGGUUUAUCGCGCUGACAGACGCGGGGAUUUAAUCGUUCGAUCGGAUUAGAUGCGAUUGUCAGAGCUGCUGUCACGCCUGUCGCAAGCGUUUCGAUUAGAAAAUUGAAAACCGUGGAACAGGAGUGUUUAGACUGGCUUGAAGGAGGGACACAGGAGGGAGAUUCCUGUAAACGGUUCGGUUUCUUUAAUACAUUGUUCGCUUUUUGUGCGGACGCAAAACGUUGCGAUCGAUAAAAUCUGACAAAUUACACAACAAUACAAUGACGUUAGAUACGAUCGGUCUCUUGUCGCCGAUAAAAAAAAAA